rnacentral:rRNA from 1 species
GAUGAACGCUGGCGGCGUGCUUAAUACAUGCAAGUCGAGCGAACGGACGAGAAUCUUGCUUCUCUGAUGUUAGCCGCGGACGGGUGAGUAACACGUGUAUACCCUCCCUAUCAUACUGGUAUAACUUCGGGAAACCGGCUCUUAUACCGUAGGAUAUUUUGCACCGCAUGGUGCAAAGGUGAAAUACGGUCUUUCUGUCACUUAUAGAUGCAUCCCGGCUGCAUUAGCUAGUUGGUAAGUUAACGGGUUACCAAGGCAACGAUGCAUAGCCGAAGUGAGAGGGGGGUAGGCGACACGAGAACUGAGACACGGACAAGACGACUACGGGAGGGAGCAGUAGGGAAUGUUACGCAGUAGGCGAAAACAUGACGGAGCAACGGCGAGUGAGUGAUGAAGGUCUUCGGAUCGUAAAAAUCUGUUAUGAGGGAAGAACAUAUGUGUAAGGAGCUGUGGAGAUAUUGACGGUACCGAAUAAGAAAGCAACGGCUAACUACGUG